GGUUUGUAGCUCAAUGGUACAGUGCUUGCCUAGCACGCGUGAGGCACUGGGUUUGAGCCUCAGAACCA
rnacentral:tRNA from 1 species